GACGGAGGAUGCAAGCGUUAUCCGGAAUGAUUGGGCGUAAAGCGUCCGCAGGUGGCAGUUCAAGUCUGCUGUCAAAGCCCGGGGCUUAACUUCGGAAAGGCAGUGGAAACUGAACAGCUAGAGUAUGGUAGGGGUAGAGGGAAUUCCUGGUGUAGCGGUGAAAUGCGUAGAGAUCAGGAAGAACAUCGGUGGCGAAGGCGGCUCUCAGGGCCUGUCCUGACGCUCAGGCGCGAAAGCUAGGGGAGCGAACAGG
rnacentral:rRNA from 1 species